GUACACUCCUGCGGGAGGCAGCAGUGGGGAAUUUUGGACAAUGGGCGAAAGCCUGAUCCAGCCAUGCCGCGUGCAGGAUGAAGGCCUUCGGGUUGUAAACUGCUUUUGUACGGAACGAAACGGCCUUUUCUAAUAAAGAGGGCUAAUGACGGUACCGUAAGAAUAAGCACCGGCUAACUACGUGCCAGCAGCCGCGGUAAUACGUAGGGUGCAAGCGUUAAUCGGAAUUACUGGGCAUAAAGCGUGCGCAGGCGGUUAUGUAAGACAGUUGUGAAAUCCCCGGGCUCAACCUGGGAACUGCAUCUGUGACUGCAUAGCUAGAGUACGGUAGAGGGGGAUGGAAUUCCGCGUGUAGCAGUGAAAUGCGUAGAUAUGCGGAGGAACACCGAUGGCGAAGGCAAUCCCCUGGACCUGUACUGACGCUCAUGCACGAAAGCGUGGGGAGCAAACAGGAUUAGAAACCCUAGUAGUCCCAUG
rnacentral:rRNA from 1 species